rnacentral:lncRNA from 1 species
AUAAUAUUGUACACGGGAAAAGUGAGUUAGAGAGAGAUGCCCUCAACCUAAUGACAGAAAAUCCCACUUGGUGCACACUUUUCUUGGGAGAUCUUGUGUUCUUUACUUGAUUUUUUCAUAAUCAUUUGUGUGAAAAUCAAAUCUGCUACUUGGAUUUCGAGAAUUCUUCCAUAUUGUUGAAGUUUUAUUCGGAUUCAUUGUGGUUUUCUUGAAAAUCUUCAAGGUUCUUUUGGAGUUUGAGGAUCUCGGCCACAAGAGCCUCAAAUCUUCUUGUUAUUGUUCUACUUUUACCCACGAAAUUACUUUUACCCAUUUCGUGGGUAAAAUCCAAAUCAGGAACUGUUUUCAUUUCUGGAAUAGGACCGAUCCUUGACAAAGGAAUCUGUUCUAUUCGCAUAAUCUCUGGAUCUGGAAGUGCAAAUUUGGAUUUCUUCCAAUUUUGGUGUAAAGAUCCAAAUCAGCACUGAAUAUACAUUAUUCCUUGCUGUAUUCUGCAGGUUCCAGCCAAUAGUUUGGGUCGUCGGAGCUAAGGUGGCACCAGAAAGUUGGAUUUGGAAAAUGGCAAGAUUAUAGGCUGUCAUUGCAAUCCGUCAGCCUUUCCAUAUGGGAAAAAAGACAGAGCAAUAACGGUGGGAGGUUACCAAUUGCAUUUGGCAAUUUACCAAAUCAGGAUCGUAUGUUACUGAAUACUACCUUAAGUCAAGGGAAAUUUCCAGCACUUCAAAAAUUCUGGAAGAUUACCAAGUGUGGCUCAAUCAAGUAAGUUUCUAGCACAAGGAAAAGACGGUGAUGGAUCUUCAUCCAACCCCAUGGAUUAUGACAAGGCAUUCUAGCAGGAAUUUGACCACGCAAAUUCAAACUCCCCAAGUUUGUCUCAGACAGUUGGUGAUGAAGAUACAGUUUCGGAGGACGGAUCUACUGCAGUCUAGCAAACUAACACUUCAGCCCAAGGAAAUGAAUUCGAUAACACUAAGGCACCGUUGGCAAGUUUAUUCAAGGAGAACCGUAAGCGUGAGGACGGAUUCAAGCUCAAAAGCUGCCAGAUGUAUUGGUUUUUGAGGAAGCUGAUAUUGAAGAUGAUCAAACAACUUGGGGUUACUGCAUGGUGGGAUAUUUUCCUGGACGUUUCCCAGGUAAAACAGCCCUCUUGUAGAUGUGUGAUCAAUGGUGCGUCAAGUACCAAUACUUUGUCCAUCAAAGUGGAUGGCUUGUGUUCAAGUUUGAGAAUGCUGAUGAUAGAACACAAGUGCUGGAAGGAGGACCUUAUUUUGUGUAUGGGCGACCACUGAUGUUGAAACAUGUCCCACCAUUUUUUGAGUUUGAUGAUAAUGAUAUCAGCACUAUGCCAGUAUAGAUAAUAUUACUAGGCGCUGCCAUUGAAUUUUUGGACGCCAAACGCGCUGAGCAUGAUUGCAACGAAGAUUGGAAAACUGGUCACAACUGAUUUGCUCAUACCUACAAAGGGCCGGUUAUCAUUUGCACAAAUUCUCGUUGAGGUCGACGCAUCAAAGGACCUAGUCCGUUCAGUAAAGAUAAAACUCCCAAAUGGUAAAAUAAGGGAGCAAGUGGUUUAUUACGUGCAUGAAACGAAAUUCUGUUGCACUUGUAAGACAUUUGGGCACAAAACAGAUGCAUGCAAACUGAGAGCUGGAACUACUGGCCACAAGCAUACAUUUUUCCCUAAGUAUGCUGCAAAAAAGACAGGGACGCAGGUGCUCAUGACCAGAACAUUGCUGAGGAUUCGAGUAAAUUAGCUGUAGACGGGCAUAACAUUCUAGGGGUCCGAGUCCAUUAACUGUAGACGGGCAGAACAUUGCUGCAAACUUGAAUAAGGAAACAUCAGAACAGAACAUUACUGGGGGCACUAGUCAAUUAGCUGUAGACAAUCAGAACACUACUGAAAACUCGAAUAAGGCAACAACAGAACAGACCUGUUCGCUGGAAGCAACCAAAUCAGGGUAGAUUCGAUUGGACAGAACGUUUAUGAAUCUGGCAAAGCAGACGCCAAUACAAAACCAGGUGCUCUAGUUGAUCAAAAUGAGGAUGAUACCCCUUUUCUUAAAGUGGGUAGGAAGAAUAAAUCGGUGAAUACAACCAAAGGUUCGAUCGUAAAUCUUGAAGUCCCAAAAAGGAAGACAGCAAGUAGUGAUAAGUUUAAAGGAAAUCUUGAUGGUCAACUCGCUAAACAACCGAAGAAGAAUAAAAAGAGGGGGAAUGCCUUCUUUAUAUCAUCAUGAAGAUUGCGUCGUGGAACAUUAGGGGCUUCAGUAUGCCCUUAAAACAAAAUGGGGUUUAUCACCUCAUUAAGCAAGAAUGCAUUGAUGUUAUUGGUGUUCUAGAGACAAAAAUCAACCAGUAAAAGUUAGCUCAGAUCUUGAGGAAUAAAUUUUGUGGAUGGAGUCAUACCGACAACUUUCCUUCACAUCCGGCAGGGAGAAUAUUGAUCCUAUGGGACCACACAAAAGUCAACCUGUGUGUUUUGGAAGCUGCCCCGCAGGUUAUACAUUGCGAAGACACCUGCAAGGUAACUUCUAUCGUAUUUUGUUUGAAUUUUGUAUAUGGUUUCCAUUCUAUUGUUACUCGGAGGCCAUUAUGGAAUAACUUGAUUGAUUUUGGAGCUACAUGUUCGAUACCUUGGACAGUAUUGGGCGAAUUUAACAGUAAUUCCACCCGAGGAAAAAUGUAAUGGAGCGGAAGUGACUCCAUACGAGACUAGGGAUUUUGCAGAUUAUUGUUUAACUGUAGGUCUUACAGACUUGUGAUCCAUUGGAUGCUAUUACACUUGGUCCAAAAACUCAAAAGGCAGUAUACCUUCAAUUUGGAGCAAGCUCAAUAGAGCUAUGGUUAAUGGACUCUGGCAACAGGCGGGGAUAUAUGCCUUAGCAAAUUACCAACCAGCAGGUUGCCUUUCGGAUCAUUUGCCACGCAUUGUAUCGCUUUUCCAACAAGGAGGAGGCAGAGGCAGAGGCAGAGGCAAACAUUUUAAAUUCUUCAAUAUGUUGAUGGAUCACUCUGAUUUUCAAAAUGUAGUUUCUUCUAGUUGGAAUCAACCAAUCUACGGAACAAAACAAUUCAAUCAAUGCAAAAAGUUACAAAGGCUAAAGGAAAAUCUGAAGCAGCUCAAUACAAGCACUUUACUCACAUUUCUGCUAAGGCUGGGAAAGCUAGAAAUGAUCUAAAAGCAACACAAAUGGAGCUACAUGAUCUACCAAUGAACAUUGAGUUGCUAAGUAAGGUUGCACUCUUGUAAAAGCAAGCUGUGGGUCUAUGUGAUACAGAGAGAAGCUGAUGAGGACAUCCAAUUUUAAUUAAGUUUAGCAAUUUUAAUUAUUUUAGUUGGAAGUUAGGUUAUUUAAUUUUAUGGACUUGUGUAUGGGCUUGGCCCUAGGUUUACAUUAUUUUUCCAGUAUUUAAACCUAUCUUACAUUGUUAUUUGGGAUUGAUGAAUUUGAUAAAAUAAAGAAUUGGUUUUGCAGCCGUCUCC